CGCGCCGCUCGGCGCAUUGCCAGUCUCGGCCUCCGCGCGGUCAUACCUCUGUGCACUCGUGUCGCGCUACACUUACGAACAUUUGUGAUAACUGUGCAUCGACAUGGAUAUUCUCACCCUGGACCCCACUGGACUUUAUUAAACCAACCAUGGACGUCACCACACUCGACCCCACUGGCCAAUACUAACAUGCCCAGCAGUCUGGAUCCCACUGGUCUGUACUGAUUACUGAACCUAUAGAUUCUUAUUAGAAUGGCCGUCAAAGUACUCGAUCCCACCGGCCAGUACUGAAACGCCACCAUGAUCGGGCUAGACCCCACUGAAAUCUACUAACUUCCAUCUUCGAUGAGACAAUGUGCUGUGGAAGGAGAAGAAUCUCAACCGGCACCCGCCCCGAGGAAACCUCGUCCUGCAGGAAGAGGAGGCUUAGAGCGAGAUAGUCGACUUCACUCAUCAAUAACAAACUCAUCGCGACUGUAAAUACUAUGAAUAAAACUGAGGGGGACGUGCCCACAAGGUCAUCAGAUGGAAAACAGCUGACUGGCGCGCCGCGCGCUAUCCGGAAAUACAUCAAACCUGACAAUCGAAGCAAAAAGUUUCAGAACGCGUCAUAACUUUGAAUGUGGACUGCAUCAAGCUUCAACUUCUGAACACGUCUCCAACAGAUGCUCAUGACCUCAUCAGCUUAUCAUCCAUUCCAUCCUCCCAUAGAUCAACGUAAAAUACUCACUAGAUCUUAAGAUAUACGACUGACAACACAUCUGUGUAAUGCACAUAUCCUUCAUGCAUUUGUUUUUUAUAUAAAUUAUUUAAAUGUAAGCAUUGCCAGUUUUACUGAUAAAUAGGGGAUCGUACACCACAGUCAAUUGCGAUACUUUUUUAAACUGCCAACCUGUUUUUUAUAAGAAAUACCCGCCUUUUGACGUCACUUCUGGGUUCUAUUUUCAAAGAUUUGAAUUUAAAUAAAAAUAGAAUGUAGCAAUGAAUUAAAAUGUGCUGGAUUCAUUCUUAAUUUAAAAUCGUCGUUUUUAUUUGUUUUUUUUUUAUUAUGGCUUCGUGCAGUUUGCGCAUUCAGCCAGUGUCAAUUUUUUUUUGCUCUCGAGGAAUUAUAAGAUUUGUGAAUAGUGUACGAUCCCAUAUU